UCAAUGGGUUUGAACUGCCGUUUCAAUGAUGACCCGCCCAUUAAUCCCAUUUAUAACUAAUGUAGCCCAGAGUUCAAGAACUGAUUAAGUCGCUGUCUCUCUAUUGGAAGAUACAACCGAGAUUGUCUGUUUCUACAUUUCUACAGUUCCACAAAAUCCAAUGAAACCCAAUGAUGGCAAACGCCAUUUCGGGCAAUAAAGGUGGGCCAAUCGCAUAUAUAGUGCGAUGAAGUCAGCGGAGAUCAGAUGACCGGACCUCCGAGACAGCGGGUUCAUGAUCGUGAUGAUGCUGAUGCUGAAAUGCUUAUGAUUUCGGGGUCUUGAGACAGCGAUGCAAUUAAAACGGAUUAAAACGGAUCGUUGGGAAGGGGAGGGGGUUGGGGGCAAAAGAGAGAGGUUCGCUUUCACUGGCCAGCGAGCGAAAUGGUGAUCGAUCGAACUGGAUCGGAUAUGUGUAUCUUGGGCCCCUUGGGCAGAUGCUAACUGUGCGAUAAGGUCAGCGCUCAAUUAUCGACGCGUUAAGUAAACCAAAGCCAAAGCACCGUGUGGAAAGUGGAAAAUGCGUACAGUGAUCACUCACUAUCUCACGAUCCGUCAGUGGAGCGCAGUGAUAAAUGGAACUAGCUAAACCAACCAACCAACCAACGAUCGUGGCAGAUAAAUGGCCACAGUAUCUUUAUCUCCACUUUGCUUUGUUUCGCUUCUCUACUCUUCUUGUCGUAUUUCUCGAAAAUGUCAACAGUUCUCGGCUGAGUGAUAUGUGAUAUACGAUCUAUGGGACCAUGGAGUCGCAGUCUUUUUUUUUUUUUUUUUAGCGAUAAGGGGUCGAUCAAUA